GAUGAACGCUGGCGGCGUGCCUAAUACAUGCAAGUCGAGCGAACGGACGAGAAGCUUGCUUCUCUGAUGUUAGCGGCGGACGGGUGAGUAACACGUGGAUAACCUACCUAUAAGACUGGGAUAACUUCGGGAAACCGGAGCUAAUACCGGAUGAUAUUUUGAACCGCAUGGUUCAAAAGUGAAAGACGGUCUUGCUGUCACUUAUAGAUGGAUCCGCGCUGCAUUAGCUAGUUGGUAAGGUAACGGCUAACCAAGGCAACGAUGCAUAGCCGACCUGAGAGGGUGAUCGGCCACACUGGAACUGAGACACGGUCCAGACUCCUACGGGAGGCAGCAGUAGGGAAUCUUCCGCAAUGGGCGAAAGCCUGACGGAGCAACGCCGCGUGAGUGAUGAAGGUCUUCGGAUCGUAAAACUCUGUUAUUAGGGAAGAACAUAUGUGUAAGUAACUGUGCACAUCUUGACGGUACCUAAUCAGAAAGCCACGGCUAACUACGUG
rnacentral:rRNA from 1 species